rnacentral:rRNA from 1 species
UACGUAGGCAGCGAGCGUUGUUCGGAGUUACUGGGCGUAAAGGGUGUGUAGGCGGUUGUUUAAGUUUGGUGUGAAAUCUCCCGGCUCAACUGGGAGGGUGCGCCGAAUACUGAAUGACUUGGAGUGCGGGAGAGGAAAGUGGAAUUCCAGGUGUAGCGGUGAAAUGCGUAGAUAUCUGGAGGAACACCGGUGGCGAAGGCGGCAUCCUGGACCAACACUGACGCUGAGUGAGCGAAAGCCAGGGGAGCAAACGGG